rnacentral:rRNA from 1 species
AUUGAACGCUGGCGGCAGGCCUAACACAUGCAAGUCGAGCGGAUGAAGGGAGCUUGCUCCUGGAUUCAGCGGCGGACGGGUGAGUAAUGCCUAGGAAUCUGCCUGGUAGUGGGGGAUAACGUCCGGAAACGGGCGCUAAUACCGCAUACGUCCUGAGGGAGAAAGUGGGGGAUCUUCGGACCUCACGCUAUCAGAUGAGCCUAGGUCGGAUUAGCUAGUUGGUGGGGUAAAGGCCUACCAAGGCGACGAUCCGUAACUGGUCUGAGAGGAUGAUCAGUCACACUGGAACUGAGACACGGUCCAGACUCCUACGGGAGGCAGCAGUGGGGAAUAUUGGACAAUGGGCGAAAGCCUGAUCCAGCUAUGCCGCGUGGGUGAAGAAGGUCUUCGGAUUGUAAAGCACUUUAAGUUGGGAGGAAGGGCAGUAAGUUAAUACCUUGCUGUUUUGACGUUACCAACAGAAUAAGCACCGGCUAACUUCGU